GUGUAUCUGCAAACCCCAAUACAAUCUCUCUCUGUUUGCAUAUAACCAGACUCUCUUCUCCCACAAACCCUAGUUUCUUAACAAAAAGAAUAAUAGAGACGAAGGAGAAGGAGUAUUUACUGCAUGUUUGGCGGCCAGAGGAGACCAGUAGAGGGAUAAGAGAAACUGGAACGAGUCACAAAGGUCUUAACGGAAUUUCUUGAUGAGGCAAAAUUAUAAGAUUGCUUUCGAAUUUGCAGAAUAGAAGAAGAAAUAAAUGGUGAUGCUAAAGAAGGCAACGCCAUAGCCAUGUUCCUCACUACGUUCUGGGUAGCAGUUGCUACAAUUUCUUGCACCAGAACUUUCAAUGUUGGGGUUUUUGUAGAUGAGUUAGGG
rnacentral:lncRNA from 1 species